rnacentral:ncRNA from 1 species
GAGAGCACAGUACGAUGAAAGUUGCGAGCUGUGUUCGGGGGGGAGUUAUUGUCUAUCGUUGGCCUCUAUAGUAGAAUCAGUCAGGGAGGCCUGAGAGACGGUGGUUUACCCUGU